CUAUGUUUCUGCAGUUCUGUGGUGUGAAUCGAAUGAAUCAAGUGUAGUAUCUGUUCUUAUCGGUUUAAUAUCUGAUACAUCCUCAUUAGAGGACUUUAUAUUGAAUAGAUUUUUGGGCAUGGGAGUUGGAUCUGGAGCUUGCUCUCUCCAUAGUCCUGGCACAUGAGCUGGUGGGGCUUGCUGAA